rnacentral:rRNA from 1 species
UACGAAGGGGGCUAGCGUUGUUCGGAAUUACUGGGCGUAAAGCGUGCGCAGGCGGCUUCUCAAGUCAGGGGUGAAAGCCCAGAGCUCAACUCUGGAAUUGCCUUUGAGACUGAGUGGCUUGAGUACGAGAGAGGUGAGUGGAAUUCCCAGUGUAGAGGUGAAAUUCGUAGAUAUUGGGAAGAACACCGGUGGCGAAGGGCGGCCU